rnacentral:rRNA from 1 species
UACGGGGGGAGCAAGCGUUGUUCGGAUUUACUGGGCGUAAAGGGCGCGUAGGCGGCGCACCAAGUCACUUGUGAAAUCUCCGGGCUUAACCCGGAGCGGCCAAGUGAUACUGUCGUGCUAGAGUGCGGAAGGGGCUACUGGAAUUCUCGGUGUAGCGGUGAAAUGCGUAGAUAUCGAGAGGAACACCUGCGGCGAAGGCGGGUAGCUGGGCCGACACUGACGCUGAGGCGCGAAAGCGUGGGGAGCAAACAGG